rnacentral:rRNA from 1 species
GUAGGGGGCAAGCGUUGUCCGGAAUCAUUGGGCGUAAAGCGCGCGUAGGCGGCCCGGUAAGUCCGCUCUGAAAGUCAGGGGCUCAACCCUUGAAUGCGGGUGGAUACUGCCGGGCUAGAGUCCGGAAGAGGCGAGUGGAAUUCCUGGUGUAGCGGUGGAAUGCGCAGAUAUCAGGAGGAACACCGAUAGCGAAGGCAGCUCGCUGGGACGGUACUGACGCUGAGGCGCGAAAGCGUGGGGAGCGAACAGGAUUAGAUCCCCUGGUAGUCCACGCCGUAAACGAUGGGCAUUAGGUGUGGGAGGUGUCGACUCCUCCCGUGCCGCCGCUAACGCAUUAAAUGCCCCGCCUGGGGAGUACGGCCGCAAGGCUAAA